CAACACUGUAUUCUAUAUGAGCACCAAUAUGGUUUUCAUAAAAACUACUCCACAGAUAUGGCUAUUUCGCAACUUGUGGAUAAAAUCUUUACAUCCCUGAACAACAAUGAACGGUAUCUUUUGAGAUUUAUCCAAAGCGUUUGACACGGUCGAUCAUUAAAUAUUACUUUCUAGAUUGCAUUAUUAUGUUUGUUGUGAUUAAACAUAUAAUUGGAUAUAUAGUUAAUGUUUAUGACAGAGAACAAUGUGUUUAUGCAAACGGCUGUGCAUCUACCAGGGCCAAGAUAUCCUGUGGUGUGACACGGUGUUCAAUACCAGUCUAGUUUUAUAGUGGAGCGUAAGGGUUUUACCUGUCUAGUUUUAUAGUGGAGCGUAAGGGUUUUACCUGUCUAGUUUUCAUAGUGGAGGGUAAGAGUUAGUGGUAAGGGUUUUACCAUCUAGUUUUCAUAGUGGAGGGUUAGUGGUAAGGAUUUUACCAGUCUAGUUUUCAUAGUGGAGGGUUAGUGGUAAGGAUUUUACCAGUCUAGUUUUCAUAGUGGAGGGUGAGGGUUUACCAGUCUAGAUUUUAUAGUGGAGGGUAAGGGUUAGUGGUAAGGGUUUACCAGUCAAGUUUUUAUAGUGGAGGGUAAGAGUUUACUAGUCUCGUUUUUAUAGUGGAGGGUAAGGGUUAGUGGUAAGGGUUUACCAGUCUAGUUUUUAUAGUGGAGGGUAAGGGUUUACCAGUCUCAUUCUUAUAGUGGAGGGUAAGGGUUAGUGGUAAGGGUUUACCAGUCUAGUUUUCAUAGUGGAGGGUAAGAGUUAGUGGUAAGGGUUUACCAGUCUAGUUUUCAUAGUGGAGGGUAAGGGUUAGUGGUGAGGGUUUACCAGUCUAGUUUUCAUAGUGGAGGGUUAGUGGUGAGGGUUUACCAGUCUAGUUUUCAUAGUGGAGGGUUAGUGGUGAGGGUUUUACCAGUCUAGUUUUCAUAGUGGAGGAUAAGGGUUCGUGGUGAGGGUUUACCAGUCUAGUUUUCGUAGUGGAGGGUUAGUGGUGAGGGUUUUACCAGUCUAGUUUUCAUAGUGGAGGGUAAGAGUUAGUGGUAAGGGUUUACCAGUCUAGUUUUCAUAGUGGAGGGUAAGGGUUAGUGGUGAGGGUUUACCAGUCUAGUUUUCUUAGUGGAGGGUUAGUGGUGAGGGUUUACCAGUCUAGUUUUCAUAGUGAAGGGUUAGUGGUGAGGGGUUUACCAGUCUAGUUUUCAUAGUGGAGGGUAAGGGUUAGUGGUGAGGGUUUACCAGUCUAGUUUUCUUAGUGGAGGGUUAGUGGUGAGGGUUUACCAGUCUAGUUUUCAUAGUGAAGGGUUAGUGGUGAGGGUUUUACCAGUCUAGUUUUCAUAGUGGAGGAUAAGGGUUAGUGGUGAGGGUUUACCAGUCUAGUUUUCAUAGUGGAGGGUUAGUGGUGAGGGUUUUACCAGUCUAGUUUUCAUAGUGGAGGGUUAGUGGUGAGGGUUUUACCAGUCUAGUUUUCAUAGUGGAGGGUUAGUGGUGAGGGUUUUACCAGUCUAGUUUUCACAGUGGAGGGUUAGUGGUGAGGGUUUUACCAGUCUAGUUUUCAUAGUGGAGGGUAAGAGUUAGUGGUAAGGGUUUACCGGUCUAGUUUUCAUAGUGGAGGGUAAGGGUUAGUGGUAUGGGUUUACCAGUGUAGUUUUUAUAGUGGAUUGUACUAAUUUGACCUAAUUUGUUAUUCCUAAUCUAUAUCAAUGACCUUGCUGCUGGGUCUUCUACCGUACCUCCCCUUCUCUUUACUGAUGAUGCCAAUUAGAUUUUAUCACACAAGCAUUUUAAUUCACUAAUUAAUGAAACCAACUCAGGCAUGGCCACAUUUUCUAAAUGAUUCCAGAUAAACAAAUGAUCUUUAAACAUAAUACAUCCAACUUUAUUAUAUUCAAUUAAAUGGAACAAGUCACAUCCACUAGAUUCCUCAGAGCUCUAAUUGAUGAAACGUUAUCUAGGGAGGAACAUAUUUAAUUUGUCUGCAGCAAAGUGACG
rnacentral:lncRNA from 1 species